rnacentral:rRNA from 1 species
GAUGAACGCUAGCUACAGGCUUAACACAUGCAAGUCGAGGGGUAACAAGAGAGAAGCUUGCUUUUCUUGUUGACGACCGGCGCACGGGUGAGUAACGCGUAUCCAACCUGCCCAUAACUAGGGAAUAACCUUGCGAAAGUAAGACUAAUACCCUAUAAUUUCCUUUGACGGCAUCUGACGAGGAAUAAAGAUUUAUCGGUUAUGGAUGGGGAUGCGUCUGAUUAGCUUGUUGGCGGGGUAACGGCCCACCAAGGCAACGAUCAGUAGGGGUUCUGAGAGGAAGGUCCCCCACAUUGGAACUGAGACACGGUCCAAACUCCUACGGGAGGCAGCAGUGAGGAAUAUUGGUCAAUGGGCGGAAGCCUGAACCAGCCAAGUAGCGUGCAGGAUGACGGCCUUAUGGGUUGUAAACUGCUUUUAUACAGGAAUAAAGUUAGCCACGUGUGGUUAUUUGUAGGUACUGUAUGAAUAAGGACCGGCUAAUUCCGUGCCAGCAGCCGCAGUAA